UACGGAGGGUGCAAGCGUUGUUCGGAAUUACUGGGCGUAAAGCGUACGUAGGCGGCUUUGUAAGUUAGAGGUGAAAGCCCGGGGCUCAACUCCGGAACUGCCUUUAAGACUGCAUCGCUUGAAUCCAGGAGAGGUGAGUGGAAUUCCGAGUGUAGAGGUGAAAUUCGUAGAUAUUCGGAAGAACACCAGUGGCGAAGGCGGCUCACUGGACUGGUAUUGACGCUGAGGUGCGAAAGCGUGGGGAGCAAACAGG
rnacentral:rRNA from 1 species